rnacentral:rRNA from 1 species
CAAGGUUAAUGUUUUCCGUAGGUGACCUGCGGAGGAUCAUUACCGAGUGAGGGCCCUCUGGGUCCAACCUCCCACCCGUGUCUAUCGUACCUUGUUGCUUCGGCGGGCCCGCCGUUUCGACGGCCGCCGGGGAGGCCUUGCGCCCCCGGGCCCGCGCCCGCCGAAGACCCCAACAUGAACGCUGUUCUGAAAGUAUGCAGUCUGAGUUGAUUAUCGUAAUCAGUUAAAACUUUCAACAACGGAUCUCUUGGUUCCGGCAUCGAUGAAGAACGCAGCGAAAUGCGAUAAGUAAUGUGAAUUGCAGAAUUCAGUGAAUCAUCGAGUCUUUGAACGCACAUUGCGCCCCCUGGUAUUCCGGGGGGCAUGCCUGUCCGAGCGUCAUUGCUGCCCUCAAGCACGGCUUGUGUGUUGGGCCCCCGUCCCCCUCUCCCGGGGGACGGGCCCGAAAGGCAGCGGCGGCACCGCGUCCGGUCCUCGAGCGUAUGGGGCUUUGUCACCUGCUCUGUAGGCCCGGCCGGCGCCAGCCGACACCCAACUUUAUUUUUCUAAGGUUGACCUCGGAUCAGGUAGGGAUACCCGCUGAACUUAAGCAUAUCAAUAAGGCGGAGGAA